GCGAACGCUGUCGGCAGGCUUAACACAUGCAAGUCGAGCGGGCGUAGCAAUACGUCAGCGGCAGACGGGUGAGUAACGCGUGGGAACGUACCUUUUGGUUCGGAACAACACAGGGAAACUUGUGCUAAUACCGGAUAAGCCCUUACGGGGAAAGAUUUAUCGCCGAAAGAUCGGCCCGCGUCUGAUUAGCUAGUUGGUGAGGUAACGGCUCACCGAGGCGACGAUCAGUAGCUGGUCUGAGAGGAUGAUCAGCCACAUUGGGACUGAGACCCGGCCCAAACUCCUACGGGGGGCAGCAGUGGGGAAUAUUGGACAAUGGGCGAAAGCCUGAUCCAGCCAUGCCGCGUGAGUGAUGAAGGCCCUAGGGUUGUAAAGCUCUUUUGUGCGGGAAGAUAAUGACGGUACCGCAAGAAUAAGCCCCGGCUACCUUCGU
rnacentral:rRNA from 1 species